rnacentral:lncRNA from 1 species
CUACAUUCCGUGGCAGCCUGGCUCCAACAUCCCAGGGAAUUGUGUCACUCCCAUUGAGCAGCUGUGGGGCCCUCUCCCACAUGGCCCAGGUCCACCACUCUGUCAAAGGUCGCACAGCCCAGACAAAAACAGGACACAGCAGUGUGUGAAUGAGCCGGGCUUUCUCCUUCCCUCCACGUAAUAGAAGGUGCCUGAGGUUGUUGAAACACAGUCCAUUUCUCCUGGGAAUGACAAGAAUUUGAGGGAUGCUGACUUUCAAGGAAUACUGCAUGACAGGCAUCAAGAUAAACCUGAUGAAGAAAACAUAGGCCAGAAUCUGGGAAUCGGGAGCAAAGUAAUACAGCUUCGGGGACAGGCACGUAAUGAGGUCAUGAUGUAGGAGACUCCCUGCAGGACUGGCGGCCCCUGUUCCCUGGGUUGUUCUGGCUCUUUCAGAUUUAUAUGUUAACAAGCUGAAUUCCUGCUUCAUCUGGAGGACUGCACAGUGUAUCUGAGAGAGGAUUUUCAGGAGGCCAGAAAAUCAAGCUGGAGGGAUUUUCAGCGUGUUGGGAGAUUGCUACCUGUUUUAAGUCAGGCCAUUGCCACGUCUUUUUCCCCACCUUGGAGACUUCAGCAAAUUGCUCAAAUGUCGGUGUGCUCUCAUGAACAGAAACGAUGGCACGGUGGGUCCUGGUCUCAAGACUUCCUCUCAAUGAUUCAGAGGUCUUGGGGGUUUUUUGUCUGAAUAUCAGGCAAAGAGGAAGGACGGCUACAAUGGAGGAGUCUCCUACCACGCUUGUGGUCGUCACUGUAGUGCUCAGUUGAAUGGUGUGUCCAUUGGGGUUGGAGUCCCCAUCCUGUUCUGGGUCCUGGCCCCCCACAGGCUCCAGGGACAUAACCCUUCCAGUUCAGGAUCAUGUGCUGGGGCACUGUUCCCUGAGGUGGGACUCUGGGCUGUAACAGCUGCUUUUGAAGCAUGUUCCAGCUUCAACCACGUGCUUGGACGACACCAGCUCUUCCCACAUACUCUUCCCCAGCUCUUGUGUUGAGUUUGGCUUCCACCUUCCUCCAGCUGGUUUCAAAGAUGAUGAAAAACAUCAUGAUACCACACACAACACCUCAAGGAAGAAGGCACAAUGAGUGAGACACAGCAGACACGACAGACUGCAGAACCAAUCCUGCACACUCUUAGACACUGGAAUUGACUAAGAUAUGUUUAGACACACACAUCCUCACCAUUGAGUGACAGUUGCCUGCUGUAUUCACUACAGUUGCAUGCUGUGCAGGUUUGUAGCCAGGGACAAGAGCCCAGGAAACUUAAAUGUGACACUCUUUGCAAGGAUGGAGUAAACAGGAAGUGAAUAAAAUUCUAUAUUUCAACUAAAGCUCGCACUUGGGUGAAAUCUUUCAACAUAUCUUUUGUUUAAGAAAAGUCAGAACAAGAAUUUCCAAGAGAUGGGGUUUCGUUAUGUUGUCCACGCUGGUCUCGAACUCCUGGGCUCAAGUCAUCCAUCCACCUUGGCCUCCCAAGUUACAGGGAUUACAGGCAUGAGCCUCUGUGCCUAGCCAUGAUGUAUGUAAUUUGUAAGAGAAAACACCUAUGCAGAAUUGCAAGUUGUGAUGGGCCCUUGAAAAUCAACGUGUGUGCCGAAUCCAGGUGGAUGCUGUGACCUCACAAAAGCUGUGAAGCUCUCUGCAACUCUUGCUGAAUUUUGGCAUCUUUAGCAGAGCAGGAGCAAUCAGCAUUGAUAAACAGAUUUCCUCUUGUAUGGGUGCCUUGCCAGUGCAGGGAUGUGCAGUGAUCUUUCACCCUCUCAGCUUUCCUCUCGAUACUGCAUUCAUCAUUUCAAGAGCUUUCAGGAAUGUGGGCCGUGCUGACAUUUUGUAAUGUCUAUCAGGAAUUGAGAUUUUAGGGUAACAACAUAAAAUGUUCCUAAGGUGAAGGUUUUGUUGUUGUUUUUGUUGUUAAUUGCCUACAUUAUGACAGUUUUGUACUUAAUUAUCACCACAUAUCUAGCUGCUUGAAAACUGUUUCUUUUUUAAAAAUACAAAGCAAUAAAAAUAUAAAC